AACGAACGCUGGCGGCGUGCCUAACACAUGCAAGUCGAGGGAGAAAGCCGCAAGGCGAGUAAACCGGCGAACGGGUGCGUAACACGUGGAUAAUCUACCUUCCUGACUGGGACAACUGGCCGAAAGGCUUGCUAAUACCAGAUAAGCCCCGCCGGUCGUUCGUUAGGACGUCGUAGGGAAAAGGGGUAAAAGGGUCCGGUCCCUUCGUCGACUAGUCGAACGAACGUACUUACUACCAACGGGAA
rnacentral:rRNA from 1 species